AACUCCAGAGGUUUGCACGUAUUGCUCAUAUCAGUGUGUGUAUGUGAAAGAGAUGACCAACAGGGGUAAAAGGAAAAAGAAGGAAAGGCUAGAGCAAAAAUCUUGUAAUUGGAAGUGAAUCAAUGGUUUAGGGCUUGAAAAUUUUCUAUGUGGAAGUCAAUGGCUCGGUGGAGGAACUCAAGAUCGGAUCAAUCCUACGGCAAAGGUAAAGUCCAUGUUGUGAGGGCUCAAAAAUGUACAUAAGGUCAUCGGUCAAGUCUCGAGAAUCGGGUGAACACACACAUUAACUCUUGGUCGUUGUUGCGAAGCAUUAUGAUAGACCAGCUUUCGUAUAUUUCUUAAAGUCUUUGAAUAAUCAUCUACCAAUUGUGUGAAUAUUGUUGGUGGUUUUUAUUGUAGGAUCGUGUUUUGACCCGAACGAGUCUAUCAGAGGAGUUUUGAUCAGAUACAGGUGCGGAAAACAAGUACCUGACGUAGAAACCGCUAGAUAUUCUCUUAAAUCACUUUUUUGAUUGAUUU
rnacentral:lncRNA from 1 species